CCAUGAAUGAGGCAAGCCAAAGAGCAGUGCUCACGACUUUUGCCGCUGAAUAAUUCAUUUAAUCCUUUCAAUAUCGCCAACUGAAGAUGAUGUGAAAACAAGAAGAUUCCAAUUAAAAACGAAAUGCAAACCGUCAAUAAAGGUGUCCCAGUUAGAAGUUGUUCAAUUUACCAACUGGUUCGCAUUUCAUUGAAACCUCCCGUCCGAGUCUCCAACAAAAAGUUCCAACAUGUUGAAAACAGUAACUUUUGGGCAAACAAAUUUGAAAGUAAGAACUCAGUUAUACGAAACUUAAAAGAGAAUUCCAAAGUAAGAGUAGAAAUGGAUUCAAUUCAAGACAAGGACUCCAGGGGCCCUACAAAAUAGAUCCCAUAGGAUAUAUCCACGUAUAAAACUGAAAUCGCGUCCGCCGAUAUCUUUGGGCGGUAAAAACAAACCGAGAGUGAGGGAGGGGCGGGCAUGAAAGUUGUCACCGAGCCGCGCAGUCAGCGAGAAAUGGAGUAACCCAUUUUAAACUAGAAUGAAUUGUACGACGUGGACUCCAGGUUCAACGGAAUGCUGCUCAUCGAAAAACUUACUGCUGUACUGUUUUACGAACAUUAAAUUUAAUAUUAAAAA